AUGCUCUCUGCCUUGUGCCUGGCUCUCAGCUCUCCUGGGCAGUGCGGGCUGGAUUCAUCCCUCCACACCCGCUCUGCCCCAGCCCCUUUGCAGCCCCCUGGUCAGAGCAGGAUGUCUGGCUGUGCCCCGGCUGCCCCCGUGCCACGCUGCUCUCCUGGGAGCGCUCUGCCGCAUGCUGCAGGACUUCUUGGCCAGCUAGGGGAGCUCUUCCGAAAAGCUGAGCUAAACCAAGUUGUUCUCCUUCUGCCAGGGGCUGAACCCCUGCAGCGCUGCUGCCCGGGGACCCACUGCAGCACAGCUGGUCCUGCAGCAGUCCCAGCCUGGCUCUGUGGACACGGCACAGGGGGUCCCACGCCCCCCCUGCAGCCUGUCUCACCUUCAGCUGCUGCACGUAUCCGCCUCCCUCCCCAAAACUGUGCUCCCAGGCGGGUGGGAGCAGCGCCAGCCCCGCUCCCCCCGGGAAGAGCCCCAGCUCAGGCUGUUUACCAGCGUGCCCAGCAGUGCAUGGGGAGCGCUGCAGGCACUGCUGCAACUGGUGCAGACACGGGGAUCGGAGCCAGGGCCGGGAUCUGCAGGCGUCAGCAGACCUGUUGUGUGCCUGUGCUGACUGCUGCAGCUUCGCUCCUCACCGGCAAAGCUGGCGAGCCAGCAUGGGUGAGGAAUUUAAUACGAUAUGCGCAGGGGCAGGCUGAGCCUCUCCUCACUGCCUCUGCUGCAGCCGAGGGGCUGCAGGCUGGCUGGGGGCACAGUUUGGGCUGGGGGUCCCACCCUGUGGGAGCUGGAGGCCCAAAGAUUGCCCUCUGGGGUGGGCGCAGAGAAGUCCCCCUUUGCUCCAUGCUCCUAGCACAAGGAUCGGGGUGCGUGUCCAGGAGGCACCUUACUGCACGUCCUGCUGCUCUGGGGAGGCGUCAGCCUGCAGGAAGCCUGUGCCCAGCACCUGAACCCCCUUUGCUCGCACAGCCUGUGCCUGCUGGCAGUGCCAGGGGCCAGACCUGGAAGGGAACCAGUGCUUGA
rnacentral:lncRNA from 1 species